UGCGUAGGCGGGUAAGCAAGUCAGGUGUGAAAUUCCGGUACUCAAUAUCGGAGCUGCACUUGAAACUACUUAUCUUGAGGGUAGACGGAGAGAACGGAAUUCCACGUGUAGCGGUGAAAUGCGUAGAUAUGUGGAAGAACACCUGUGGCGUAAGCGGUUCUCUAGUUUAUUUCUGACGCUGAGGCACGAGGGUGUGGGGAGCAAACA
rnacentral:rRNA from 1 species